AGUGAACGCUGGCGGUAGGCCUAACACAUGCAAGUCGAACGGCAGCACAGUAAGAGCUUGCUCUUACGGGUGGCGAGUGGCGGACGGGUGAGGAAUACAUCGGAAUCUACUUUUUCGUGGGGGAUAACGUAGGGAAACUUACGCUAAUACCGCAUACGACCCACGGGUGAAAGCAGGGGAUCUUCGGACCUUGCGCGAUUGAAUGAGCCGAUGUCGGAUUAGCUAGUUGGCGGGGUAAAGGCCCACCAAGGCGACGAUCCGUAGCUGGUCUGAGAGGAUGAUCAGCCACACUGGAACUGAGACACGGUCCAGACUCCUACGGGAGGCAGCAGUGGGGAAUAUUGGACAAUGGGCGCAAGCCUGAUCCAGCCAUACCGCGUGGGUGAAGAAGGCCUUCGGGUUGUAAAGCCCUUUUGUUGGGAAAGAAAAGCAGCAGGUUAAUACCCCGCUGUUCUGACGGUACCCAAAGAAUAAGCACCGGCUAACUUCGUGC
rnacentral:rRNA from 1 species